ACGGUCCUACGGGAGGGCAGCAUGUGGGAAUGAUUGCAACCAAUGGGCGCAAGCCUGAUGCCAGCCCAUGCCGCGUGAUGUAGGCAAGAAUGGGCCUUUCGGGUUGAUGAAAGCACUUUUCAGUCGUGAGGAAGGUAGUGUAGUUAAUAGCUGCAUUAUUUGACGUUAGCGACAGAAGAAGCACCGGCUAACUCCGUGCCAGCAGCCGCGGUAAUACGGAGGGUGCGAGCGUUAAUCGGAAUUACUGGGCGUAAAGCGCAUGCAGGUGGUUUGUUAAGUCAGAUGUG
rnacentral:rRNA from 1 species